UGCCUUAGUAACGGCGAGUGAAGCGGCAAANGCUCAAAUUUGAAAUCUGGUACCUUUGGUGCCCGAGUUGUAAUUUGGAGAGGGCAACUUUGGGACCGUUCCUUGUCUAUGUUCCUUGGAACAGGACGUCAUAGAGGGUGAGAAUCCCGUGUGGCGAGGAGUGCGGUUCUAUGUAAAGUGCCUUCGAAGAGUCGAGUUGUUUGGGAAUGCAGCUCUAAGUGGGUGGUAAAUUCCAUCUAAAGCUAAAUAUUGGCGAGAGACCGAUAGCGAACAAGUACAGUGAUGGAAAGAUGAAAAGAACUUUGAAAAGAGAGUGAAAAAGUACGUGAAAUUGUUGAAAGGGAAGGGCAUUUGAUCAGACAUGGUGUUUUGCGCCCUCUGCUCCUUGUGGGUGGGGGAAUCUCGCAGUUCACUGGGCCAGCAUCAGUUUUGGUGGCAGGAUAAAUCCGUAGGAAUGUAACUUGCUUCGGGAAGUAUUAUAGCCUAUGGGAAUACUGCCAGCUGGGACUGAGGACUGCGACGUAAGUCAAGGAUGCUGGCAUAAUGGUUAUAUGCCGC
rnacentral:rRNA from 1 species